UCCGGUUUAACACCGGCAGUCUCCCUAGAGUCCCCGACUUAACGUUGGCAACUAGGAACAGGGGUUUCGCUCGUUAAGGGACUUAACCCGACAUCUCACGACACGAGCUGACGACAGCCACGCAGCACCUGUGCACGUUCCAACCUUGCGGCUGUGGCCCUACUUUCAUAGGGUUAAUCCGUGCAUGUCAAGACUAGGAUAAGGUUCUUCGCGUAGCCUCGAAUUAAGCCACAUCCUCCACCGCUUGUGUGAGCCCCCGUCAAUUCUUUUGAGUUUCAGCCUUGCGACCAUACUCCCCAGGCGGAGCACUUAACACUUUCGCUCCGGCCGGAAGGUCAGUGACGAACCCUCCAACCAAGUGCUCAUCGUUUACGGCUAGGACUAC
rnacentral:misc_RNA from 1 species